CUUCGAAUGAUGUUAUCGAUUCUGAAAUUGACGUUUUUGCUAUAAACGAAUUUAAAAUUAAUAAUUCAGUAAAAGAUAGUGAAAUAAGUAUCCCAGGAUAUAAUAUGAUUCGCAAUAGAUUAUAGAAAUAAGUAUCCCAGGAUAUAAUAUGAUACGCAAUAGAUUUGGGGGUUGAGUGGUUGUUUAUAUUCGAGAGAUAUAUUCCUUCUAUGAGCGGAGGGAUUUAAAUUCAGAUGAUCUUGAAAUGAUUUGUAUUGAGAUUUGUAAACCACGAAGCAAGCCAUUUCUUAUUAGUGCAUGGUACAGACCACCCAACUCUGAGAUGAAAUUAU